AUUGAACGCUGGCGGCGGGCCUAACACAUGCAAGUCGAGCGGAUGAAGGGAGCUUGCUCCUGGAUUCAGCGGCGGACGGGUGAGUAAUGCCUAGGAAUCUGCCUGGUAGUGGGGGACAACGUAUCGAAAGGAACGCUAAUACCGCAUACGUCCUACGGGCGAAAGCAGGGGACCUUCGGGCCUUGCGCUAUCAGAUGAGCCUAGGUCGGAUUAGCUAGUUGGUGAGGUAAUGGCUCACCAAGGCGACGAUCCGUAAGUGGUGUGAGAGGAGGAUCAGUGACACUGGAACUGGGACACGGACCAGACUCCCACGGGGGGAGGGAGUGGGGAAUAUUGGGCAAUGGGCGGAAGCCUGAUCCAGCCAUGCCGCAUGUGUGAAGUAGGUCUUCGGAUUGUAAAGCACUUUAAGUUGGGAGGAAGGGUUGUAGAUUAAUACUCUGCAAUUUUGACGUUACCGACAGAAUAAGCACCGGCUAACUCUGUGCCAGCCGCCGCUGUAACAC
rnacentral:rRNA from 1 species